AUUGAACGCUGGCGGCAUGCCUUACACAUGCAAGUCGAACGGCAGCACGGGUGCUUGCACCUGGUGGCGAGUGGCGAACGGGUGAGUAAUACAUCGGAACAUGUCCUGUAGUGGGGGAUAGCCCGGCGAAAGCCGGAUUAAUACCGCAUACGAUCUACGGAUGAAAGCGGGGGACCUUCGGGCCUCGCGCUAUAGGGUUGGCCGAUGGCUGAUUAGCUAGUUGGUGGGGUAAAGGCCUACCAAGGCGACGAUCAGUAGCUGGUCUGAGAGGACGACCAGCCACACUGGGACUGAGACACGGCCCAGACUCCUACGGGAGGCAGCAGUGGGGAAUUUUGGACAAUGGGCGAAAGCCUGAUCCAGCAAUGCCGCGUGUGUGAAGAAGGCCUUCGGGUUGUAAAGCACUUUUGUCCGGAAAGAAAUGCUUGGCCCUAAUACGGUCGGGGGAUGACGGUACCGGAAGAAUAAGCACCGGCUAACUACGUG
rnacentral:rRNA from 1 species